CUCACUGUGGUUGACUACAAGCUGCCAUUGGUGGACUCACUGAUCAGAGGAUAGAAUGUGCACCAGAGACCCUUGUAGCUGGCAUGAGCUGAUGGGGUUUUGUUUCUGUGCCAUCCUUUCAUCCAUCCAUCCAUCCAUCCAUCCAUCCAUCCAUCCAUGACAGGACCACAACCACAUCUUUAGGCAGGAGCCACAGAGGGGGCAGAGUCCAGUACCCACAGGGAGGCAGUGAGCACAAGCAGACAGUGUGUCAGGGCUCCAGUCCCACAAACUGGAUUGGCCUGGCUUAGAGGCAGCAGGACCCAGUGCUAAGUCAUAGAGCUGAGUCAAGAUUUCAGCCAAGAGUGGGAGGAAGACUGUGCACAAAGAGGCUGCAGGGGUGCCAGCCCUCAUUUCAGAUCUCCUUCAAAACCAGCAUCAAGACCCGGUGAGUAAUGCCCAUGGAUUGAUGCCGUGGAUGCUAUGGAUGGUUUUCCUCUCCUGGUCAGACCUGGCUCAGACACAAAUAAGGGGGAACUGGCUGCAGGACAUCACUAGCGACUCCCAAGCCAGGACCAGGUGGAUCAAGGACUCCAGUCAACCCCCAGUGAAUGAAUCUGACAUCUUCAUCUACCUGCAUAAGAGCAAGAGAGUAUUCCUAUUCUUUGGACCACAGUAAGAGGCAUAGGGGGAAGAUCUAUUGCUAUGAGAUAAAUAAGAAAAUUUCAGACAAUGGAAAAGAACAAUCAGCUGGGCUCAGGACAUAAAAGAUAACAGGGGCCUAACAACUGGCAACGGUGAAACUGCUUUGCCCAUGAGAGUGUCCCAAAGAUGGGGGCCAACAUGCAUUCAACAUGUCUUCAUGUCACUGCAGUUUCAGGACUAUUUGAAAACUUGGAAAGAUGGAGAUGUAAAGGCAAGUAUAGAAAAUGUAAAUGGCUUCCCCAUAUUACCAUAGAUUGGAGAUCAUUUUUCCUAUUCUUUUCAAAUGGGGAGUGGAAUCUGAGCCUCAGCACUGAGUUUCCCACAGGAGCUUGGAAUCAAUGAAUAGUACAAAGUCCCUUAAAACCCCAGCACUACCAUUUCUUAGCUGUGUUACUUUGGAGAAAUGAAUUAAGCUUUCUGUGUCUCCCCCCCCC